ACGUCAGGAAGAAGAAUAACAAAAAUCACAUCAAAUUCAGGUCACAAGGAAGAAAAACAACAAAAUUUUCGUCGAAAGAAGAACAUACCUUGACUGGAGAGUUGGGGAGGGCUGGCCGGUAUCCAGGAAGAAUAUUCAUGCCGUGGACUAUGAGCCGAUCUCGCAUUGCAUUGACCGGAUCGAAGGCAGAAGUCACAGGAUCAAGCGUUCGCUGGCAAAUGCCCUAAAGGUCAGCUUGUUGGCUAACUCUGGACAUUGCCAUCGAGGGCUCUGGUCUGCGGUGGUACCACCAACUGUGACAAUGUCCACGAUGAGGUCGACUGCUGCAAGCGGCCAGAAAAGUUUUAGUGUCCCAUCAACAAGUCCAAAGUAACAUCAGAAAUGACGGAGGAGGACUGCUCGGGCUGAUCCUCGUUCAUGUGCUGGAUGAUGACCACAUUGCAUGAAUCUCCGUCUGGAGUACUGGGGCCGUGCCAGGCGGUCGCCCAAGUUGUGGGUCAGAUUGAAGCGGGCUGCGAUGCGGCUGCCAUCGGAGAGACGCAGCUGGACCGUCGUCAUGGCCGACUUCUCGUCAAGGCUCAGUCUGCCUUUGGUAUGCUGCUCCGGCAAGACCCGCACAGAGCCAAAGGAUGACCAGGGUUCGGAUCCGCUUGCCCUCAACUCUCAGCAAGGUGCCCUCUAACCUCCAAGGCGUCUACGGUGUUUUAUAAUUUUUAGGAACUCUACUCGAACUCUUGUCCUUACAAAAUUUCUUUAAUUAAAAGACGGUAGUGAUACAUA